rnacentral:rRNA from 1 species
UAACUUAGUGGCAGACGGGUGAGUAAUGUAUAGGAAUCUACCUAGUAGUACGGAAUAAUUGUUGGAAACGACAACUAAUACCGUAUACGCCCUACGGGGGAAAAAUUUAUUGCUAUUAGAUGAGCCUAUAUUAGAUUAGCUAGUUGGUGGGGUAAUAGCCUACCAAGGUAAUGAUCUAUAGCUGAUCUGAGAGGAUGAUCAGCCACACUGGAACUGAGAUACGGUCCAGACUCCUACGGGAGGCAGCAGUGGGGAAUAUUGGACAAUGGGCGAAAGCCUGAUCCAGCCAUGCCGCAGAGUGAAGAAGGCCUUUGGGUUGUAAAGCUCUUUUAGUGAGGAAGAUAAUGACGGUACUCACAGAAGAAGUCCUGGCUAACUCCGUGCCAGCAGCCGCGGUAAUACGGAGAGGGCUAGCGUUAUUCGGAAUUAUUGGGCGUAAAGGGCGCGUAGGCUGGUUAAUAAGUUAAAAGUGAAAUCCCGAGGCUUAACCUUGGAAUUGCUUUUAAAACUAUUAAUCUAGAGAUUGAAAGAGGAUAGGGGAAUUCCUGAUGUAGAGGUAAAAUUCGUAAAUAUUAGGAGGAACACCAGUGGCGAAGGCGUCUAUCUGGUUCAAAUCUGACGCUGAAGCGCGAAGGCGUGGGGAGCAAACAGGAUUAGAUACCCUGGUAGUCCACGCUGUAAACGAUGAAUGUUAAAUAUGGGGAGUUUACUUUCUGUAUUACAGCUAACGCGUUAAACAUUCCGCCUGGGGACUACGGUCGCAAGAUUAAAACUCAAAGGAAUUGACGGGGACCCGCACAAGCGGUGGAGCAUGUGGUUAAUUCGAUGCAACGCGAAAACCUUACCACUUCUUGACAUGAAAAUAAA